GCCGAGGAACAGGGGCGCCGCCACCAGCCACACCGCCUCCCAAGUUUCCCCUGCGGAUGCCCAGCCCCGGUGGCUCCGCUCCUCCCGGCUCAGAGGGGCCCACAGGGGCCGGAGGAGCGGACUCCCGACAGGGUUCCUAAGCCAGGGGAGAGGACGGGCGCCCCACUCGCUCCGAGGGUCGGUCAACGAUGAAGAGCCGGCGGCGGCGGCGCAGGGAGUACUGCAAGUUCGCGCUGCUGCUGGUGCUGUACACGCUGGUGCUGCUGCUCAUCCCCUCCGUCCUGGACGGCGGCCGCGACGGCGACAAGGGCGCCGGGCCCUGCCCCGGCCUGCACCGCAGCCUCGGGGUGUGGAGCCUGGAGGCGGCGGCGGCGGGAGAGCGCGAGCGGGGCGCGGAGGCGCGGCCGGCCGCCCAGGGGCCCGCGGGCCCGGCCCCCGGUGCGGCGGGCAACCUCAGCGGCGCCGUCGGGGAGACGGUGCCCGGCGAGAAGCAGCACAUCUACGUGCACGCCACCUGGCGCACCGGCUCGUCGUUCCUGGGGGAGCUCUUCAACCAGCACCCGGACGUGUUCUACUUGUACGAGCCCAUGUGGCACCUGUGGCAGGCGCUGUACCCGGGCGACGCCGAGAGCCUGCAGGGCGCGCUGCGCGACAUGCUGCGCUCGCUGUUCCGCUGCGACUUCUCGGUGCUGCGGCUGUACGCGCCUCCGGGGGACCCCGCCGCGCGCGCCGCGGGCGCCGCCAACCUCACCACGGCCGCGCUCUUUCGCUGGCGGACCAACAAGGUCAUCUGCUCGCCGCCCCUGUGCCCCGGCGCGGCCCGGACCCGGGCGGAGGUGGGCCUCGUCGAGGACGCCGCCUGCGAGCGCAGCUGCCCGCCCGUGGCCCUGCGCGCCCUGGAGGCCGAGUGCCGCAAGUACCCGGUGGUGGUCAUCAAGGACGUGCGCCUCCUGGACCUGGGCGUGCUGGUGCCCCUGCUGCGGGACCCGGGCCUCAACCUGAAGGUGGUGCAGCUUUUCCGCGACCCGCGGGCCGUGCACAACUCGCGCCUGAAAUCCCGGCAGGGGCUGCUGCGCGAGAGCAUCCAGGUGCUGCGCACCCGCCAGCGGGGUGAUCGCUUCCCGCGGGUGCUGCUGGCGCCCGGCGUGGGCGCCCGGCCCGGGGGGGGGCCCUCCCGCGCGCUGCCCGCCGCGCCGCGCACCGACUUCUUUCUGACCGGGGCGCUGGAGGUCAUCUGCGAGGCCUGGCUGCGCGACCUGCUGUUCGCGCGCGGGGCGCCCGGCUGGCUGCGGCGCCGCUACCUGCGGCUGCGCUACGAGGACCUGGUGCGGCAGCCGCGCGCCCAGCUCGGGCGCCUGCUGCGCUUCGCCGGCCUCCGCGCCCUGGCCGCGCUCGACGCCUUCGCGCUCAACAUGACGCGGGGCUCGGCCUACGGGGCGGACCGGCCCUUCCACCUGUCGGCGCGCGAUGCCCGCGAGGCGGUGCACGCCUGGCGGGAGCGGCUGAGCCGGGAGCAGGUGCGCCAGGUGGAGGCCGCCUGCGCCCCGGCCAUGCGGCUGCUGGCCUACCCUCGCAGCGGGGAGGAGGGCGACGCCGAGCCCGGCCUGGAUGAGGAGACAUCGAAGGAGGUGGAGGCCGCGGGCGCCACGUAGCCUCCCGGCCGCAGCCCGGGGGGAGAUCCGGGUCAUUUGGAUGUGGUAACCAGCAGCUUGGAAGCAGAGAAAGCAGCCUAACUGAAGGUCUGACACAGAACAUUACAGAGACAUUCAUAAGGUCAGGCAUCAUGAACAGGGCACUCAGCAUGUUGCCCCAGCACUGGAGAAGCCAUGCUGUGGAGGCAAUCUAUUAUGCUGUCAGAGACUGGGACUUGAUUUGGUACCAACUGCUGUGCAAUUCUGGAGAGCAGGAAUAUCAUGAGCGUAUUAAAUAAUGACGGACACAUUGGUUGAAACAAAGUUUCCAGUAAGGAAGUGCAAUGUGGAUAAUCAUGGCAAUAAAAUAGGAAGAGCUUUAGUUCCCAACCCGAACCUGCCUCGGCUGGAGCCAUUUCAACAAGGCGUCCUCACAACAAAGAGAUACGAUUGGUACCAUUUCCCAUCAUCAGGUGUCUGGACAAAAGAUUAAUGUGAAUAAGGGCCAAGCGCGGUCCUGUGUAUCUUGAUUAAAUUACACACUAUUAAAUAAAAGGUCUAGAUGAUAUUGUUUUAAA